rnacentral:rRNA from 1 species
UGGGGAAUUUUGCACAAUGGGGGAAACCCUGAUGCAGCGACGCCGCGUGAUUUAGAAGGCCUUCGGGUUGUAAAAAUCUUUUGUAUGGGAAGAAAAUGACAGUACCAUACGAAUAAGGACCGGCUAAUUACGUGCCAGCAGCCGCGGUAAUACGUAAGGUCCGAGCGUUGUCCGGAAUCAUUGGGCGUAAAGGGUACGUAGGCGGAUAAGCAAGUUAGAAGUGAAAUCCUAUAGCUCAACUAUAGUAAGCUUUUAAAACUGCUCAUCUUGAGGUAUGGAAGGGAAAGUGGAAUUCCUAGUGUAGCGGUGAAAUGCGCAGAUAUUAGGAGGAAUACCGGUGGCGAAGGCGACUUUCUGGCCAUAAACUGACGCUGAGUUACGAAAGCGUGGGUAGCAAACAGG